UACGUAGGGAGCAAGCGUUGUCCGGAAUCAUUGGGCGUAAAGCGCGCGUAGGUGGCUUCGUAAGUCCGUUGUGAAAGUCAAAGGCUCAACCUUUGAAAGCCGAUGGAUACUGCGGAGCUAGAGUACGGAAGAGGCGAGUGGAAUUCCUGGUGUAGCGGUGAAAUGCGCAGAUAUCAGGAGGAACACCGGUGGCGAAGGCGGAUCUCUGGGCCAUUACUGACGCUGAGGAGCGAAAGCGUGGGGAGCGAACAGG
rnacentral:rRNA from 1 species